AAAAGCCGGUCGCUUAUAAACAUCAUGGCUCCACUUCACCAACUCCGCACUUUCUUUGCGCUGCUUGCCAUUGCCUUCGUACUCUCAGCGCACUGCGUUGCAUCAGCACCGGCUGAGACCGUCGCUGCCAAAAAAGUUGAUGUACGACAGUUCGGCGAGGACGAAAUCCGUGACAAACGUAUAUUUGGCUGGCUGUGGAACACAGUUAAAGGCAUUUUCGGUUGAUGAGGUGCAGAAGACGUUAAUUUUGCUUCAGUGUGUUUUAUUUUAAAAGAAUAUGUUUUGAUAAAUUUCAAAAAAAUGUUUUAAAAGCAUGGAUUCAAUUGUUAAAGUGUGCAUGAAAAUAAAAUAAAAAUGAUUCGAACCAU